AUGACGGCGAUUAGCAUGUUCAUACUGCAGAACAGUGAUGUUUGGGCAUUCCAGUACCGGAUCAAACUGCCGGUGAUGGAUAUCAGGCGUUUCGAGGAGCAAGGGGAUUUGUGGGCCAAGGUUGUGUCCGAGGAGGGAGACGUGCUUGCCAGCUGCCAUGGCCAGCUGUUGCACUAUGACAAAAAUGGCAAUCUGGUAGCAAACUUCAAGUAUGAAGAUCACGACCUGCCUGAGGUUCUUCUCCCCAGGCUCAAGGAGAGUCUUAUUCAGCGUACGUUUUUCCAAAAGAAGAUAGGGAAAGAAAAAGAAGAGUUGAUUCCUAUUGACCUUGAGAUCUGA
rnacentral:rRNA from 1 species